GUGGGGAAUCUUCCACAAUGGACGAAAGUCUGAUGGAGCAACGCCGCGUGAGUGAAGAAGGGUUUCGGCUCGUAAAGCUCUGUUGUCGGGGACGAAUGUGCAGUAUUUGAAUAAAGUAGUGUAAUGACGGUACCUGACGAGGAAGCCACGGCUAACUACGUGCCAGCAGCCGCGGUAAUACGUAGGUGGCAAGCGUUGUCCGGAAUUAUUGGGCGUAAAGGGAGCGCAGGCGGGAAGGUAAGUCGGUCUUAAAAGUGCGGGGCUCAACCCCGUGAUGGGAUCGAAACUAUCUUUCUUGAGUGCAGGAGAGGAAAGUGGAAUUCCUAGUGUAGCGGUGAAAUGCGUAGAUAUUAGGAGGAACACCAGUGGCGAAGGCGACUUUCUGGACUGUAACUGACGCUGAGGCUCGAAAGCCAGGGGAGCGAACGGGAUUAGAAACCCCUGUAGUCC
rnacentral:rRNA from 1 species